rnacentral:rRNA from 1 species
GAUGAACGCUGGCGGCGUGCCUAAUACAUGCAAGUCGAGCGAACGGACGAGAAGCUUGCUUCUCUGAUGUUAGCGGCGGACGGGUGAGUAACACGUGGAUAACCUACCUAUAAGACUGGGAUAACUUCGGGAAACCGGAGCUAAUACCGGAUAAUAUUUUGAACCGCAUGGUUCAAAAGUGAAAGACGGUCUUGCUGUCACUUAUAGAUGGAUCCGCGCUGCAUUAGCUAGUUGGUAAGGUAACGGCUUACCAAGGCAACGAUGCAUAGCCGACCUGAGAGGGUGAUCGGCCACACUGGAACUGAGACACGGUCCAGACUC